AUAACCUUGGCUACUUUUCAUCAUGAUAUAUAAAAUGAUGAAUCGGCGGUCGUGGUUUCUAUGGAAUACAUAUCUUUAAAAAUGCUAACAGUAACAUAUUCUCAAGUAAUUCACAUUUUAGAUGACAUACGGCAGCAUUUUGACCACUAACACCACUACGCGGACGAAAUCGCGGGCAAAAGCUAGAUUCGAUAAAUUUUCAUUUGUACAUGUCAAAUAUUUGUUGUUUCUAAAUUCAAAUUCUAUAAAUAAUGAUUGACAGUUAUGCAUAAAAAGGUUGAAUGUACAAUUGUCUGUAUUUUUAAAUCUAUUGAAAAUGUUGAAAAGUGCAUUAAGCAUUAAUAGAAUUUCCUCAAAUAUUUAUGCGUGCGUUCAGAAAUAAUGACAAAUUAUCAACAGUUACGCGUGUGUUCAGAAAUUUAUUUUGUGGAAAUUAAAGUUUCUAUUCACGUUUUCGAACAAACGAUGCUCUUUCAAUAUAGUCUAUUGGUGUGAAUGACAUUGACAUUCGUAUUGCGCGUUUUUUAAAAUAUGCAAAAUUAAAUGUAUAUUUUUCAAUAUUUUUGAGAGAUUAUCUUAAUAUUUCUUCGACAAACUGAUGAGCAUCGCGAAACGCGAAAUGAACUUGAACUGAAUCGAUAUCAAGAUAGAAAUGUUGUGUUUAAUCCCCACAAAGCUGCAUUCAGUUAUAAUGUAGCAAUUGAUUACAGUUCAGAGCAAAUUGUUGCUAUUGGACUAAUGAACAUUGUGUGCGCCACAUUGGGAUUGAAAUUAAAAAAUGAAGCCUCUGGAUUGUGUUGCGCCAGCGGCCAAGUCAAAUUGACGCCAUUGGUACCGCCACCAGAGCCACUACAUUCGUUGGUCCAUUUUUUGACUCAUAUCCAGUAGUACAAUAAUUGCUUUCAAAUGACAUCAUUUGGGGCAACAAAAGUUAUACGAGACAAUUUUUUGCCUACUUUUAGCAAAUUCAGGGAUUCAAAUAUAUCAUCAAACAGGUUCCUUAUUACCAGUGCCUGUUGAAGACUAUACAUUUUUGCAAAUAUAUUUUAUGGACAAUUCAGCAAGAGAAGUCGAUCAGCGUUGCGCACACAACAACUCAAUAAAGAGAUCCAUUGUGAUUAACAACUUCAAACAUUUUUCCUUCAACACAAUGAAUUAGUUGCAUUAGACCGAUGCAUUAGACAUUCACAAAUGCAUUAGACCGCAUGCCAUCAGAUAAUCACAAAAUUGUCAUCAGAGCCGAUAAGGCGCCUGCAGGGCAGUGAAAUGAUUGAAUCCUAUGAAAUAAACACUAUUAUGAAAAUUUAUUUUGUUUUUUUUUAAAUUAGUAAAGUCCUUUUCAGGUAUAGUGAGAUCAGGAAAUUAUGGAUUCAUUUUUAUAUGGAGGAUAUUUAUAGAUUCCAAUUCAAAUUGAAUAGGGACUCAUACAUAACUCAGCUAUACAAAAUAAAGUAGAGCAUCAUUGCUACGCGAAAGCGGUACGAAGUUCGCUGGGUCAGCUAGUAUAUCCAUAUAUUUUAAGGAUAAACUAAUCCAAUAACUUCUCACGCCUUGAGCGAAGCGAGAAGGAGUGUCAGACAGUUACUCACUUCUAACCACCCCAUUGCUACUCCUGCUUUUCGAUCCGGAGCUCCGGUAAACCCGCUAGGCUGUUCGCAGCUCGGGAUCAUGCAUCAUCCCAACUGGGCCCCAUCUGUGGUUGUCCAGAACACGACGCGCCGUACGCACGAGUCUGAUUCUAUUCGAGCGGCGAGCUGCCCUUGCUCGCCGUCUGCAGACCCGCACUUACGGUGGCCGGAGAUCGUCGUGCUAUCCCCGACGCCCGGAGUCUGUCGCGACGGGUGGAGUGUGAGGAAGCUCGAUCCAUCACGCGCCUCGCUUCUUCCUUAGCUAACAUGAUUGAUUUGCAGAAGGAGGAGACGGCAUCUUAUUCCCCCACGCUCCGCAUUAUGGCCUGAACCAAUGCCGGACGCAAGAGGUUGCCGUCGCUGAAUACACCCUGAGUCCUCCGGGCGUUUCCUCCCGCGCAAUCCGAAACCUACCGAAGCUCCCAUGUCUGGUAAACACCUUCGUCAGGCGGGAGGUGAGGACACCGUGAUGCCUCUCAAGCCAGUCUUCAAAGACAGCGAGACUUAUCCCUGCAAUGACAGCGAGCCCAACUAUUUAAGCUACGUUGACAUUCUCGUAGAAGAAUAAGAAUUAUACUACAACUCCUGUUGUUAUCGUAAUAGAAUAGAAUAGAAUAAAAAUUUAUUUCAGACAAAAGCUCAUAUAUUGUUAGUAACAUAUAAAAUCCUUAUAAAACUAUUGUUAGUACAUAUUUAUGUACAUAGAUAAACACAAAUAAUAAAGAAAAACCACACAGUAGCGCCGUCUUAUGCCAGACCCUGGAUGCCACCACCCUCUAUGUGCAGUCGCAUCCAGUGUCACCACAUUGACGAGUCCCAACGGUCCACAAACACGCUCAGAAGGCUGCUCGGGCUGGCCCCCAUGCGUCUCAUCAUCGACGCACAACGCUUCCGCAUUAUAGCGUGAAAGCCAUCCACGUUCUUCAACGCAAACAUUGCUGAAGCGCUGCAGUGGCGUGGCAGCCCGAACAGUAUCCUGAACGCAUUAUUAUAUUGUACGCGCAGAACACUAUAAGCGCGCUGCGUGUACUUAGUCCACAGACUGCAGGUAUAAAAAGAUUGACAAAAUGCCUUAAAUAAUGUCACUUUAACUUGCUCAGUACACCGUGCAAACCUGCGGGCCAGCAUGUUACAGCGCACCGACAGCGCCCUGCGCUCCCUUUCUAAGUAAAUGUUGUCACAUAGGUCCUCCAGACAACCAGUGACAAAUUGGUAGAUCCGCCGACGCUAUUAUUAUGCGAUUGUGUAAUUUGAUUUUACUAAACUGACAGAUGACAAAAAUGGGCUUUGUUUAAAAGACUUAACUAUUUCAAAGAAUAACAUUUAAGUCAGAAUAGAUUUUUUUGGGACAAUGCCGCCACAACCUGCCAUACCGCUGCAACUCCUGUAAGCCAGGAUCUACAGUAGAGACAACUAUGAAAACAACGGAACACUGAAGCCUCAGGGACGUGAAUAAAUCAGAAGAUAUUAUUAGAGGAAAAGAAAAAGAAAACGAUAGUUUCCAAUUGCAUGUGAAUUUAAUGCAGGAGACAGAAUGACUUAAACCUAAAGCCUAAAGUACCAUGUUUAAUAAAGAAGAAUUCUAAACGAACUAAGAUUUGAAACUUGACGCCAUAGUAAUUACCUAUCCAAUGAUGUAACACACAUAGCUAUUGGAAGGUGGGACAACCAACCUGAUUACAUAAUAAAAAACAAUUUUAACAAAAAAAUACCGACUUCAAAAAAUAAAUAUUCAUAUGCACUAAAAAGUAAAAAAAUAAUUGCGUAUUUUUCGACAACUUAAUAGAUCAACUAACUUUACUAACUCAACACAUAGGUACUUAUCCCACUCCCACUCAUACUAGCCUACCUAUAAGAAUGCUUUUUGUUUACAUUGGGUUUAAAAAUGUGAUAAAAUAUUAUUUUAAACUUUAGUAUUAUUUAACUAUAAUUAAUUAAACAAAAAUCCUAUACAGCAUUUUA